GUGCGAAAGCACGACAAGGUUAAUCCGAGUGAUUUCUGCUAAAGAAAUCUUUUGCCAGUCAUAAAACCACUAGUGAAUAAGGGGUGGGCAAGUUCUGGUGUCAGCCGCCGCGGUAAAACCAGCACCUCAAGUGGUCAGGAGGAUUAUUGGGCCUAAAGCAUCCGUAGCCGGCUCUGUAAGUUUUCGGUUAAAUCCAUGUGCUCAACGCAUGGGCUGCCGAAAAUACUGCAUAGCUAGGGAGUGGGAGAGGUAGACGGUACUCGGUAGGAAGGGGUAAAAUCCUUUGAUCUAUCGAUGACCACCUGUGGCGAAGGCGGUCUACCAGAACACGUUCGACGGUGAGGGAUGAAAGCUGGGGGAGCAAACCGGAUUAGAUACCCGGGUAGUCCCAGCUGUAAACGAUGCAGACUCGAUGAUGCAUUGGCAUAUAGCCAGUGCAGUGUCGCAGGGAAGCCGUUAAGUCUGCCGCCUGGGAAGUACGUACGCAAGUAUGAAACUUAAAGGAAUUGGCGGGGGAGCACCACAAGGGGUGAAGCCUGCGGUUCAAUUGGAGUCAACGCCAGAAAUCUUACCCGGAGAGACAGCAGAAUGAAGGUCAAGCUGAAGACUUUAC
rnacentral:rRNA from 1 species